GCGCACAUGUUUGCUUUCCAAUUAAAGCGAAACAAUGAUAUCGCAUAUCACCUGACGCUAACGACGAAAAAUCAGCGCUAACGGUUUCCUUCGUCCGGCGUUACUUGAUAUCAAUUUGCGACGCACUGAAAAGGAACGACGAGAACGGCUUUUUUUCAUGCCGGCGUUAAUAGUCAUCGUUCAUUAAUCCCGUCGGAUUUCGCCGGAUCCGAUCAGCGGUAUAUCAUCCGCGACAAUAGCAACGGAGGAUCCUGUUACGAGCUUUGCAUGGAGCACACAGUCGUUCGGGCUGAGCGACCAAUUAAAAAAGCUAUCCCUAAUUAGUCGGAUAGCCGCGACUUAAUUUGAUUUGGCUCGAGGAGCCAGGGGCUUUUUCGAGCGUGUCUAAUGAGAACCGCGCGUCUGCCAGGAUUCGCUCGCUUUCCGGAAAUGUACAGUUUUUUUUAGCGAGAAAACAUUUCUUCCUCUUGGCUCGUUUUAUCGCGUCGCAAAUUGUGUCUGUCAACGCUUUAAUUUUCAUUGCCCGCGAUAUUUCAUCGAUGCUCGUAUGACGCACGCUUACCUGGAAAUCUUACCUUGCAAUUCAAUCAAUGAGCUCAGAAAAUUGCAUCCAAUUUUCAAGAACUACAAUGUGCGGUCAGCAUAAUUUAUGCUUGAACGCUGAGCAAUCAGUGAACACAAUAUAGGGAUGUUAUUUCACAAUAAUAUUGAAAGGAAAACAUCUUCUUCUCGGAAAAAGAAGGAGCAUCUCGAGCUUUUAAUAAGACAAUAAAGUAAUAAUAAGAUUCGAUCACUGUUGCGCCUGGCAUUCGUCGUGUCUUGGCGCAAGCACUGUGCACGCGUCGCUGGCGGACGCGAGAACGGGCCGAGUUCGCUGACCGGGGGCCGACGCGGCGAAUAGCAGAGAGAACGCACGCGAAAGAGCCCGCGAGAGAGGCGACCGGAGAGUAGACCGUGACCGUGGCCGUGACCGUGACCGUGGCCGAGUUGUUGCGAUCGCAAUAGACAUUGCCGGCAGCAGCCGCGGCGGUGACGAUACCGAAUAUAUCCAUGCGGCAAACUAUGACUCCGCGGAGACAAGAUUCGGGUCGAAAAAUGCAUCCGGAUGCAUUCGUCAAAUGCAGAUGUAGCUCAUUCAAAAUGAAGUAAUCAAUAAUGAAAGAUUUUACGUGAACAUUGUGGCAGAAGCACCCCAGUUGCGUCGAAGUCGGGAAACGGAAAGUUUAAGAUAAGCAUAAUGUGCUUAAUAUUAGCAGCGCUGAGUUUAUUUUCUUUAAUUUCGAAAGUUAAGCUACUCUUACAAGCUCCUCAGUGCUUAUUUUAUAAUCACGUAACUAAAAGACAAGUGAUAUGAAACAGAUUACCAGAUGCAAGCCUCACGUUCGUAAUACGCGAUAUAUUUCUUACGAGAUAUAAAUGAAUGCACCAAAAGAAAUAGUCGAGAAAGGAACCUAGAUCCACACCUAUUCGGCGACAAGGGUUGACGCUAUUGCGGGACACAAUCGGAACGACUACACGUCGUAAUGGAAAAAUAUCAUGGUUCUUCUGAGUGAGAAUGCGAGACGAUUCGAUUUUACAUGGACACGUACGUAUACCAAUAUACUUUGUGUUACUUUUUUUUUCAAUGAGGUAACUAUUCUCGAUCUAUUUGUUUCUCUCUUGAAGCUCGUAGUAAAGGUACAAAACGUCUAUUCUAAUAUAUUCUUCCUCUGGUCAUCAUUCAUUAUCAUACAAAUGCGCAGCAAUCCUAGCUUACACGAUCGAUUGGUACGACUAUUGUGAAAACACCACAGGCUCUAAACAUGGCCAUACGAUAUACACAUUUUUACACGGAUUAGUUCUCGGUGAUGUGCGCGAUUUCUGGGGUGAUUGGGAUUCUUCUCAACGAUUCUAAUUAUUCUGUGACAUUUGCUACGAUAUACUCUUGUGAAGAACAUGGUUGUUGGAAUUUUCAGUGCACACACAUAUGCAUUUAUGUUAAUGUUAUCCGAUAGUAAUUGCUGGCAACUAGAAAAAGUAUGUAUAAAACGAGAUAUUAUAAUCGUUCUUAUAGCAUAUUUUCAUUACUGAAAAGUGCACAUAGCAUUCACAUAUUCAUCAGAUAUUCAAUACAAUCAUAAGUUAAUAUAUUAGCCGUUUAAAUGCAUUAUAGCAAUAGAAACGAUUAUAACAUAAAGAAAUAGUAUUAUCACUCUAUCGGGCAAUGAUAAAAAAUUAAUUAUAAUUAUUUAUAGCAUUAUCUAUCGAGAGCUUUUUUUAGACAGCAGAAAGUUCAAUCAAUUUUGGAUGGAAAUGUGUACUCAUACGUAUGAAUAGGAAAAAUAUAACAUCGAUCUGAAACGAAUAGUCUUCCUAUUUAUGUAAACCUAUUAAAAUUUAUUAACGCAGAGACUUUUUCAAAAUCUCUUUUAUCUAUUGCAUUACAUUUAAUUAUUGUAAAUAAUAGUAUGGCCAUAAUUAUUGUAUGCAAAAACUCGUGUCAAUCAUUUCACAAGAUGCUAGAGAAUUUAUCUUGCUUACGAGGUUAGUAAUUAAUAUAAUAUAGAUUAUAAUAAUGCAAUAUUAAUGUAUCUACUUUUCAAGAUAAUAUUAAAAGUUUACGACCGACAUAAUAUUGCUGUUUAAGAAUAUUCUCGUAUGGAAAUAAAAUAAAAUAAAAUAAGAGCACUGUGACUGUCUUUCUUACAAUUUCUUUUAUCAAUUUUUUAAACCAAUAAAUAGUUAGCAUAUGAUUUUGUACACUGCGUAAAAUAUCGAAUACGUAAUAAAUGUACAGUUAUCAAAUCUGAUUCUUACAUCCAAAAACCAUGUUGUACAAAUAUUCUCUAAAUAUUUUCUGUUAGAGCACUUUAUUUUUUUAUAUAUAUAUAUAUUAGUAGAUCACCAUAGUAUGUAAUUGUAACAUUCACUGUAAACUUUACUUCUGCAUGUUAUGCAUCUAACACUCAUCAUUCCGGAAAUACUGAUUUGUCACAUCGUGCAUCGUUUAAGUAAUUACUACACUUGUACUAGUGACUAAAAUAUGUGUGUGUACUUUGCAAUUCUCGAAAUCUACUUCUAUGAUCAAAUAUCCAACCGAAGAAAAUUUUUAAUAAAUUACCGUUUAUACUC